rnacentral:sRNA from 1 species
CAUUUGCGUUAGGGGUUGUAGUGGAGCUCUUUUUGUGCAGGCUUUUUUGCCUGACUCAAAAAAGCGGGAACGGAAGACCCGACCCGCU